rnacentral:rRNA from 1 species
AACGCUGGCGGCAGGCUUAACACAUGCAAGUCGAGCGCCCCGCAAGGGGAGCGGCAGACGGGUGAGUAACGCGUGGGAAUCUACCGUGCCCUACGGAAUAGCUCCGGGAAACUGGAAUUAAUACCGUAUACGCCCUACGGGGGAAAGAUUUAUCGGGGUAUGAUGAGCCCGCGUUGGAUUAGCUAGUUGGUGGGGUAAAGGCCUACCAAGGCGACGAUCCAUAGCUGGUCUGAGAGGAUGAUCAGCCACAUUGGGACUGAGACACGGCCCAAACUCCUACGGGAGGCAGCAGUGGGGAAUAUUGGACAAUGGGCGCAAGCCUGAUCCAGCCAUGCCGCGUGAGUGAUGAAGGUCUUAGGAUUGUAAAGCUCUUUCACCGGUGAAGAUAAUGACGGUAACCGGAGAAGAAGCCCCGGCUAACUUCGUGCCAGCAGCCGCGGUAAUACGAAGGGGGCUAGCGUUGUUCGGAAUUACUGGGCG